CCUACGGGAGGCAGCAGUGAGGAAUAUUGGUCAAUGGACGCAAGUCUGAACCAGCCAUGCCGCGUGCAGGAUGACGGCUCUAUGAGUUGUAAACUGCUUUUGUACGAGGGUAAACCUCGAUACGUGUACCGUGUUGAAUGUAUCGUACGAAUAAGGAACGGCUAACUCUGUGACAGCAGCCGCGGUUAUACGGAGGAUCCGAGCGUUAUCCGGAUUUAUUGGGUUUAAAGGGUGCGUAGGCGGGUUAGUAAGUUAGAGUGGAAAAGUUGCGGCUCAACCCCGAAACUGCAUCUGAUACUGUUUGACUUGAGAGUAGUUGCGGUAGGCGGAAUGUAUGGUGUAGCGGUGAAAUGCUUAGAGAUCA
rnacentral:rRNA from 1 species